GAGACAGCAGCAGCCGCGGGAAUACGGAGGGUGCAAGCGUUGUCCGGAUUUAUUGGGUUUAAAGGGUGCGUAGGCGGCCUAAUAAGUCAGUGGUGAAAGCCUCCAGCUUAACUGGAGAACUGCCAUUGAUACUGUUAGGCUUGAGUAUACUUGAGGUAGGCGGAAUUGACAGUGUAGCGGUGAAAUGCAUAGAUAUUGUCAAAAACACCAAUUGCGAAGGCAGCUUACUAAAUUAUAACUGACGCUGAGGCACGAAAGUGUGGGUAUCAAACAGGAUUAGAUACCCCAGUAGUCCCUGUCUCUUAUAA
rnacentral:rRNA from 1 species